rnacentral:rRNA from 1 species
UACGGAGGUUCCGAGCGUUAUCCGGAUUUAUUGGGUUUAAAGGGUGCGUAGGCGGCCUGUUAAGUCAGGGGUGAAAGACGGUAGCUCAACUAUCGCAGUGCCCUUGAUACUGAUGGGCUUGAAUGUACUAGAGGUAGGCGGAAUGUGACAAGUAGCGGUGAAAUGCAUAGAUAUGUCACAGAACACCAAUUGCGAAGGCAGCUUACUAUGGUAUUAUUGACGCUGAGGCACGAAAGCGUGGGGAUCAAACAGG